GAUGAACGCUAGCGGGAGGCCUAAUACAUGCAAGUCGAGCGGUAGAGUGACUUCGGUUGCUUGAGAGCGGCGCACGGGUGAGUAACGCGUACAUGACCUACCUUUAAGACUGGGAUAGCCCUGGGAAACUGGGAUUAAUACCGGAUGUGAUAAUAGAUAUAAGGAUUUAUUAUUAAAGUUACGGCGCUUAGAGAUGGAUGUGCGUCUGAUUAGCUAGUUGGUAGGGUAACGGCCGUACCAAGGCAACGAUCAGUAGGGGGCGUGAGAGCGUGACCCCCCUCACGGGUACUGAGACACGGACCCGACUCCUACGGGAGGCAGCAGUAAGGAAUAUUGGU
rnacentral:rRNA from 1 species